rnacentral:lncRNA from 1 species
GACGAACCUCAACACUCCAUAGCAGGCCCUGCCAUUAAAAAGGGAAAGGAGAAGAUCAAGGAAACAAUCAAUGGCUUCAACCCGGCAUUCACAUAAUUACCAGCUAGUUACUAGUACAAUGAAUAUGAAUGCAGCAGCAGAAAAUGAUAAGAUGAUAAAUUUUGUGAAGCAACAUAAUGCUCGUUAAUACAUAUGUUUCCCCUACAUUGCUUACUAAAGGAAUGAAGAAACAUUUCUCGAGUAGUUUUUAUAGAGGAAUCUUAUUCCUUUGGUCAUCUUCAGACAUGAUUUUGUCAUGAAAGCACAAACCUUGCUGUGUAAAUGACAAUUCACGCAUCAGAAUGAUAAACUUAGUACACAUCGAUAAUGGACAUACCAGUAAAGAUGUAUUCAGACAUAACACAUGAUUACUGAUUAACAAGUAACAUAUCAAUAAAGAAGCUAACUCCAUCCCAAUUCGUAAUCUAUAACACAGAGGAAUAAGAAUUAUUAUACCUUCUAACAGCAAGUCCA